rnacentral:rRNA from 1 species
GCUUCGGCACGGCUCGGGUCGAUAGGCGUCGACGAAGCUGCGCGCCGAGCGCGAGAUGCUGCCGCGGGCGUCGCCCGCCUUCACCUCGCAGGCGAGCAGGCGGCCCUGACGUUCGAGGACGAAGUCCACCUCCGCACCGGACUUGCUGCGCCAGAAGUGGAGACCGUCGAGGAGCGGGUUGCGGUACUUCGCCAGCUCGGUGAAAACGAAGUUCUCGAGAAGGGCCCCUCGGUCGCCGCGCUCGGCCAGAGGCCCGAACCCACCGAAGAGCUGGUUGCGGACACCGUUGUCCAGGAAGUAGACCUUGCGCGCACUGGUGAUCUCGGCGCGCUUGCCGCCGACGUAUGGCGGAACCAGGCAGAGAACGUGGCUGUCCUCCAUCAGCGACACAUACUCGGCCACGGUGCCGUUGCUGACCCCGGCGAUCGCCGCCCACUCUGAAGCGUUGCAGAGGUUGCCUAUCUGACUGGCGGCCAGCGUCAGGACCUUGCGGUACGCAGCCGGGUAUCGCACACGAAAGCGGUCGGAAGCGUCACGCAGAACGAGGGCCUCG